rnacentral:rRNA from 1 species
UGCAGCUCAAGUGGUGGCCGCUAUUAUUGGGCCUAAAACGUCCGUAGCCGGUUCUAUAAAUGCCUGGGUAAAUCGUACGGCUUAACCGUACGAAUUCCGGGUAGACUGUUCAACUUGGGACCGGGAGAGGCUAGAGGUACUCCUGGGGUAGAGGUGAAAUUCUGUAAUCCUAGGGGGACCACCAGUGGCGAAGGCGUCUAGCUAGAACGGGUCUGACGGUGAGGGACGAAGCCCUGGGGAGCAAACG